UAAAAGGGGGAACUAUCCCUGAAUGCUAAUAAUGCUCGUUUUAUUUCAAUUAUAAAAUUUGGAUGCCAAGGUUUAUGGCACCCUACAACUAGGCAUACUUCUGCCUAGGUGAAAUAGAAAGACCCACAUAUUGGCAUGAUCCUGUCCAGGUAUUUUAUAUGGGGAAGAGGGAAUGUUUGUGUUUUUUCUACAGAAUGCUACAGGAGUGUGCCAGCUGCCUGAGAGUCUGGUGAGCCAUGCUGAUCCUGGGAGCAUGAAGAUUCAAUUCAGCUCUCGUGGUUCUGGUUCCUGGAGUCAUUCCUGUGCCCUUAGAGGAAGACGGAGGAUUCCCCCUCAUCUUUUGUCAUCACAGAAAUUCUGGCAUUGCUGCAGUCAUUGUGUCCUGUCCCAUCUCGGCCUGCCCUCCGACCCUCUGUGCACUGCUGCUUGCUGGAAGCUGCUGUGGACUGGGGAACUCUGCCCUGGUUCUGCAGAUCUCAGACAUGGUUCCAUUGCCUGCUGGUUGGUCCAGAGAAGAAUGACUGAUCCUGAACUGUCCUGGGAAAGACCUAGGCAUUUUCGCUGCUAUUGUGGCAGCCAUUACUGCUGCAGCCAUUGUGUCUGCAGUGUCUGGAGUUACCCUCCCCCAAUCUAUUGUUAGGCAAGCACAGUGGGUGAACUUUCUGGAGUAGUUGCUAACAAUUGGGAAUUCUAAAUUUUUAUUAUAGGAGCGGCUUGACUACGGCCCUUGGUGG
rnacentral:lncRNA from 1 species